UUUGGUGUUAUGAUGAUACCCCUAGCACAACGCAUAGUUCAUCUGAAUUCUAUGAUGAAAACUUCCUUAUUUAGUCUUUCGCUCCCAUCUGACUACACCAUU
rnacentral:snoRNA from 1 species